ACCAGACUCCUACGGGAGGCAGCAGUGGGGGAUAUUGCACAAUGGGGGAACCCUGAUGCAGCGACGCCGCGUGGGUGAAGGAGCGUUUCGGCGCGUAAAGCCCUAUCGGCAGGGAAGAAGGAGGACGGUACCUGACUAAGAAGCCCCGGCUAACUACGUGCCAGCAGCCGCGGUAAUACGUAGGGGGCAAGCGUUAUCCGGAUUUACUGGGUGUAAAGGGGGCGCAGACGGCAGCGCAAGCCAGGAGUGAAAGCCCGGGGCCCAACCCCGGGACUGCUCUUGGAACUGCGCGGCUGGAGUGCAGGAGGGGCAGGCGGAAUUCCUGGUGUAGCGGUGAAAUGCGUAGAUAUCAGGAGGAACACCGGCGGCGAAGGCGGCCUGCUGGACCGCUACUGACGUUGAGGCUCGAAAGCGUGGGGAGCGAACAGGAUUAGAUACCCGCGUAAUA
rnacentral:rRNA from 1 species